ACGGGAGGCAGCAGUAGGGAAUCUUCCGCAAUGGACGAAAGUCUGACGGAGCAACGCCGCGUGAGUGAUGAAGGUUUUCGGAUCGUAAAACUCUGUUGUUAGGGAAGAACAAGUACCGUUCGAAUAGGGCGGCACCUUGACGGUACCUAACCAGAAAGCCACGGCUAACUACGUGCCAGCAGCCGCGGUAAUACGUAGGUGGCAAGCGUUGUCCGGAAUUAUUGGGCGUAAAGCGCGCGCAGGCGGUUUCUUAAGUCUGAUGUGAAAGCCCCCGGCUCAACCGGGGAGGGUCAUUGGAAACUGGGGAACUUGAGUGCAGAAGAGGAGAGUGGAAUUCCACGUGUAGCGGUGAAAUGCGUAGAGAUGUGGAGGAACACCAGUGGCGAAGGCGACUCUCUGGUCUGUAACUGACGCUGAGGCGCGAAAGCGUGGGGAGCGAACAGGAUUAGAUACCCUGGUAGUCCACGCCGUAAACGAUGAGUGCUAAGUGUUAGAGGGUUUCCGCCCUUUAGUGCUGCAGCAAACGCAUUAAGCACUCCGCCUGGGGAGUACGGUCGCAAGACUGAAACUCAAAGGAAUUGACGGGGGCCCGCACAAGCGGUGGAGCAUGUGGUUUAAUUCGAAGCAACGCGAAGAACCUUACCAGGUCUUGACAUCCUCUGACAACCCUAGAGAUA
rnacentral:rRNA from 1 species